AAAGCCUAGGGGAAACCGUCCGAAAAUUAAAUCGUGAUUAGUUGUGAAAAAUCAACAUGGAAGACAAGAAAGUUCUCAUUCUGCGCAUGCGUGACAUACUAUAAAUGACUAAAACAGAGACAGAGAUUCCCAAUCAUCUGUCUCUGUCUUGUAAGAAUUUGGGGGACUUUGUUGACCUUUCAUGACAUGAUUUCACAACUAGAUUCAUGAUUUUUCACAACUAGACGCAACUCCAUUUUUUCAAUCAGUGUCGAGACCUGUUUAUACGAUGAUCGUGUUUCAUGGUUACGAUAUAGGUUAUAGAUCAUAGGUAUACCAUUGUGUUCGACUACAUAGCGCAACGUACAGAUCAUACACUGAAACCGAGACACAGCAGUCUUUCAUAACUGAAAUUUCAAGGAAUGUUGCCUUAUAUUUUCUAAAUUUUUAAAUCCGCAACUUUCAAGAAAUUUGCAAAAUAAUAAUUUUCAAUAUUAAAAAAUUAAUGUUUCGGUAUAAGAGAAUUGUAUUGGGAUAUAUUAAGCCUCCUAAGUAAAACUAAAAAGAACGCAACUCAAUCCGACAAAUAAUUUCCGAAACAAAAAUUGUCUAGUGCACCUCGAUUUCAUAAAAAUGAGCAAAAAUUCCAAAAUUCGAACGUUCAUACUUUUCAACUAAUUUAAAAAAAUAAUGAUUGAUCUCGCUACCUCUAAUUUCAUGUGGACUAUCUACGUAUUUCAUUAAAUAAAAAUUUUCAACAUCGACCAGGUGAUCGAUUUAGCGUGGAAUGACGCAUACCUAUUAGUCGCAAGAUAUAAUGAUUGAUAGUCUGCCGCUAUUUAACCUUACCAUACUAUAAUUUAUGAUUGAACCAAGAUUUCAAUAAGGAUCUCAGCAGAGUGCUACGAAUGAAUGUCUGGAAAAUUGAUAGCCGACGACUCGAAGUCGCUGAGCUAUGAGAGGCAUCGAUAAUACAACUGUUUAAAAUUUAUGUUUAGAGAUGCGUGAGAUAGUUUAGAAGUUACAAAUGACUAACAACCCAACGCGUUGCACUGUCAAAGGAUAGAAACUACAGACAUUGUUUAAAGGUCACGGGAUGGAGAAGAAGUUUGCCUUAGAACCACUAAUCGUCCACAUAUGUACUUCUGUACGGUUAAUUAUCGAUAUUUCGGUUAAUUAUCGUACCGCUAAAGUGAAUUCAAGGAAACACCCAACAGAUCUCACAAAGGACAUAACCUAACAAACAAACACUCACCACACUAAAGAAAUAAAUCAAUCAAAUUCGAAGAUGGCAUCCCACUGGGGGUAGCCAUCCACAUGUUAUAUUAUUAUACCACUAAGCUAUAAUAUUUUACCAAAUGUCCUACUGGACAAAUUGUAAAAUGUAAAUAAAUAAAUAAAUAAAUAAAUAAAAAAGUGAAU